GAUGAAGAACGCAGCGAAAUGCGAUAAGUAAUGUGAAUUGCAGAAUUCAGUGAAUCAUCGAAUCUUUGAACGCACAUUGCGCCCUCUGGUAUUCCGGGGGGCAUGCCUGUUCGAGCGUCAUUAUAACCACUCAAGCUCUCGCUUGGUAUUGGAGUUCGCGAUCUCGCGGCUCCUAAAAUCAGUGGCGGUGCCUGUCGGCUCUACACGUAGUAAUACUCCUCGCGAUUGAGUCCGGUAGGUUUACUUGCCAGCAACCCCCAAUUUUUACAGGUUGACCUCGGAUCAGGUAGGGAUACCCGCUGAACUUAAGCAUAUCAAUAAGCGGAGGA
rnacentral:misc_RNA from 1 species